UGGGGUAUAGCCAAGUGGUAAGGCACCAGGUUUUGAUCCUGGCAUUCGGAGGUUCGAAUCCUUCUACCCCAG
rnacentral:tRNA from 1 species